AGAGUUUGAUCCUGGCUCAGAUUGAACGCUGGCGGCAGGCCUAACACAUGCAAGUCGAGCGGAUGACGGGAGCUUGCUCCUUGAUUCAGCGGCGGACGGGUGAGUAAUGCCUAGGAAUUCUGCCUGGUUAGUGGGGGACAACGUUUUGGAAAGGAACGCUAAUACCGCAUACGUCCUACGGGAGAAAGCAGGGGACCUUCGGGCCUUGCGCUAUCAGAUGAGCCUAGGUCGGAUUAGCUAGUUGGUGGGGUAAUGGCUCACCAAGGCGACGAUCCGUAACUGGUCUGAGAGGAUGAUCAGUCACACUGGAACUGAGACACGGUCCAGACUCCUACGGGAGGCAGCAGUGGGGAAUAUUGGACAAUGGGCGAAAGCCUGAUCCAGCCAUGCCGCGUGUGUGAAGAAGGUCUUCGGAUUGUAAAGCACUUUAAGUUGGGAGGAAGGGCAGUAAGUUAAUACCUUGCUGUUUUGACGUUACCGACAGAAUAAGCACCGGCUAACUCUGUGCCAGCAGCCGCGGUAAUACAGAGGGUGCAAGCGUUAAUCGGAAUUACUGGGCGUAAAGCGCGCGUAGGUGGUUUGUUAAGUUGGAUGUGAAAGCCCCGGGCUCAACCUGGGAACUGCAUCCAAAACUGGCAAGCUAGAGUACGGUAGAGGGUGGUGGAAUUUCCUGUGUAGCGGUGAAAUGCGUAGAUAUAGGAAGGAACACCAGUGGCGAAGGCGACCACCUGGACUGAUACUGACACUGAGGUGCGAACGCGUGGGGAGCAAACAGGAUAAGAUACCCUGGUAGUCC
rnacentral:rRNA from 1 species